CUCUCUCUCACACACACACAAUCAUACACCAACAAACACCUAAUUGUGAUUUUAAAGUAGAACAGUUGUGUCAAACUAUUGAUUCUUCUUGUAGCAGAGCCAAAUCCUUCCUGGCAAAAAAAUAAAGCAGUCACCUUUACCUGAGAAGGGAUCUUAGGGAGGGAAAAUAAAACUAUUCUUUAUGCAUUUGUCUUUUGUUUACUGAAUCAGCUAGGUAUUUUUUUUCCUUCAGAUUAUAUAUUUCUGACUCAUCUAAACAAGCAGGAAACAUCUUUGUCCUUACGCUUGAAGUUUUGUGUGUUGCUCACAAUGAAACAGGCCCAUUUCCCAAAAAUUUCUGAAACACAAGGAUUCCCCAUCGCAAUUCAGGAUUACACAGGCAGGGACUGGAAAUUUCAAUAUCGUUGCUGGCAAAAUAGUAACAGCAAAAAGAUGUAUGUAUUAGAAGGGCUCAAGGAUUACAUGAUCUUAAAUCAGUGGCAAGUUGGGGACACAGUGACGUUUCAUCGAACAGAACAAGAAGGAAAACUGAUUAUUGGAACAAAAAAGAUGCCAGCUUCUAUUGCUUCUAUCCAAGCUCUUAAGG